CUUUAUCGUUUAAUAUAUCCUCUGGGAUUUGAGUAGCUACUCGUCCAGCGCUCCUCUUGGAGUUAAUAGUGACGAGAGCAGCAUUUUCAACAUCUCUAUUAGAACCAUCCAAAUUAUUUUCCUUCCUAUUUUUUUUGCCAACAAAACGACGUUUUGGAAUUGAUUUUUUCACUUCCGCCAUUGUGUUUUAAAAUUAUAAAGUCUAUUACUAAAACCCUUUGAAAUCCCAAGAAGUAACCAAUGCUAU